ensembl:lncRNA
CACAGAUUUUCAUGAACCAUGGUAUAACUUGCUCCUGUAUCCACAAUUGCUUUCCCUGUCCAAUUGCUAAUGCGUACAGGCACAAUUAACUGUGGCAGGAUAAUUGGAGGAGGUGGAGAAGGGAAAGAUGUUGAAGUUAAUUUCUUGGGUUUUACUUUGUUUUUUCCUGUGACUACCACGGUUACAGCAUUGCUGGUAGACUUGUCCCUUGUUUAGUUUGUGGAAAUUAUCUCUUGAUACUGGGUGUCCGAUGCAAAUUUUCAAACUGGUUUUGACUGGGAGAAUAGUGGGGACAGCUUCUGGGCUCAUGAUGUCCUUUGCAUCUCCAGCAUCGUACCAAAAUCGAUUUUUCAACAACUCAACAUGUUGGUUUUUGUGGCAUAUUAGAGAAUGAUUGUUGACUCGCACAAGUUCCAUACGGUUGUUGUUCGUAAUCUUUCUCUAAUUGAUGACCCAACUUCACCAGUUCUUCCACUGUAUUAACACGGCUGCGCAACUGACUAGCCAGAUGAGGUUUGAUAUUUUUAAGAAUUAACUUGACUAUCUCUGUGUCUGUUAACAUUGGUUUCCAGCACUUGUAGAGGGCUCGAUAUGUAAAGGCAAAAUCUCGGAUUGAUUCUUUUUCUCCUUAUGUACGGGUUCGGACUCUUUCUGCCAGCUCAUCUUCAUAAUUUUCUGAUAGAAAGGCAGAAAGAAAGGUGGUUUCAAACUCAUUCCAAGUGGUUACAGUAGACCUGGCAACCUCCCACCAGUCUUGUGCUGUACCAUAUAAGACUGUACGAAAAGUAGCCAAAACGUCCUUGUCUGUGAGAGGAUGCAGAGCUAAGAAAUCUUGACAUCAUUCUAAAUAUAAUAAUGGGUCACUGUCAUAACAUGCUCUUUCAAAAGUAGGAAAGGUCAGCAUUAGGUGGUCACUUUUAAUGACAGCCGGGGCUGAAUGUGCAGGACUUAUUAACUGGUGGAUCAGGUAUGGAAGGUGGUACAGCAAAUGACACAAUAUCUUCCUCUGCGUCUGCAUUGAUUCUUUCAGAAACUUUAACAUUUUUGCUCAUUUCAAGCUGAAGUUCAAAUACCUUUUUGUCCAAUUCAUCCAUCAUGCUGUUACUUCUGGCAAUAUCUGAAGAAAGUAGUUCCUGAUCUUUUUGAAGAAUGUUCUGGGGUGUGUUAAUGUCCUACUGUACCUCCAGUUGAAGCUGUUCCACCAUAAAACUAAUUUUGGUAAUUAUAGUACUUUCAGUCUUCUGGAGUUGUCCUGUUACCAUCACCUUCAUAGCUUUUAUCAACUGAUCUGUGCUUCCUUCCUCAUCCUGUUUAUUAGCAGCUAUUGUGUUCAACAGUUGCUGAUGGUUAGAUUUCAUUUUUUUUUCAGUCAGGCUUGCAAGUUGAGUGUCAUGCAAGGGGAGGGUUUUUCAACUUCUUGAGUAAGCUCUUUCACAGUUUUAUCCUGCUGUUUCAAGCAAUCAAACAAACAAUCCCAGUUCCUUUGCACAUUAGCAGUAAGCUGAUGCAUUUCCUUUCCAGGUGUGGGAAGAUGGCCUGGCAAGCGAUGCUAUGACUCUGAGGAUGGUGGUGAAAUUUCAGUGGAGGUGCAGAGUUGCAUAGGAUCUGGCUGGUAUGAAACAGUGCCCCCUGGAAGUUUGUAAGCAAAGUGCACCUGAGACCUGGGAUGGGGACUGAUGAACUGAGUGGGUGUGAACUGGAACAUGAGGCAGAGUUGCUAUAUCUGGGGGUUCAGGUGGCCAAGCUGGAGUUUCUAUGUCUGGGGGAUCCAUUUCUAUGUCUGGGGGUUCAAAGGUGAUGACUGGGUAGUGGCCAUGUUUGCAGUGCGUGUAAAUCUAUGGGCAAUAAAAAAUGUUAGGCAAAUAAAAUCAAAGUUAGGAAAUUCUGGAAUGUAUGUUUUUUUUCUUCUUGUUGGCAUUUAGGGGUACCAGAAGAAUAGAAAAAAAAAAAAAAAAAAAAACACAACCAACUACAGUAUGUUCAGAACUUACAAGAGGUUUACUAUUUAGCCAGCACAAAAAUUUCAAUCUGCAAAAAGUUUAACCCACUUAAUCAUCUCCAUGUACCAUUAACUCACAAUGUCACAUUUUCUUUUCCACAAGCACUUUUGAAAGUGAAACAGUUCAAAAUUCAAGUAAAGCCAAUCACUGAGGUGAUCCCAUUCAAAAAAGUUAUUUUUUUAAUUUUUUUAUUUUUUCCUGUUCAAGUCAAGUUUUUUUAUUUUUAUUUUUUAGUCCCUGUUCGGGCACCACUUAUGUAAUGGUGGCACACCCAAAAAAUAGGAAUUUUAACUUAAAGAUGAAUUCCUUACAAUAUUACAUUACCAAUUCGGGCGCCAGGUAGAAUUCAGGCUACCGAUUAGAAUUUAGAAUUAGGAUUCAUUGCCAGCUUCCAACCAGGAUAACUGAUACCACCAAUUGCACACAAAAAAUGUCAACACAAACUAAAAGAAUCAUACAAAGGUGUAGCUGUUAAAUUGUAAUGAAUAUAUUGUUCAAUUAUAACAAUAACAGUUCAGUUUUCACAAUGAAUCACACUGUUCACACUUCAAUAGAGUCCCCUAAUUUGUGGGAGAAAAAAAAACGUUAGUUUCCAACAAAAACAAAAAAACCUUCAAGGAAACGUAGCAGUAUUGGACCCUCAGUUUCAAUAAUCACAGUAUUCAAAAAAUCACAAGUUCAAAAUCAUCAGUUCUCAGUUCUCAAAAAAAAAAAAAAAUAACAUCACGAACAAAACUUUAAGUAUGUGUAAAUUUAUGUUUGCUUCAUGUUCGUGUGUGUGGAAUGAGUGUGUGUGUGUGUGUGUGUGUGUGUGUGUGUGUAUGUGUGUGUGUGUGUGUGUGUGUGUGUGUGUUCAGAUGCUGCCAGACGGCUGCAUUGGGAAACUUGUGGGAAGUCACAGAGGAGGACGUGGGUUUUUAAAGAGUACCUGAGUCGUCGUCGCUUCUGGAAUCAGGAUGUGGAGAGAAGAGAGCUGAAAGUGCAGUGAAUACUCCGUCUUUGUACAGUGAACGAGGAACAUGCCUUGGGUUAGGAAACCCGAAUGAGAUCCGACAACAUGCUGCAGGUGGCAUCGGCGUUGGAGACGCGAGUCAGACCAAGCCCGGCAGACAAUCCAUGUAUCCGUUCCAGGAACAGGCAAAGCUCCAUUCAAUGACCAGGCCACGCUCUGCAGUUUGUAUCAGGAAGAAUCUGUAGCGUUAGUAAACCUUUUGUGCAUCUGAUUCAACAACGUGACUCACUUGGCGGCGGUGACCGCAGCAACGUCAAGAGCUCCAACUACGAUUCUGUGACGUCAAUUCGUUUCUUUCGUGAUUGGUUAAACUGUUUGUGUAUGGUUCGGUGCAAGACGGAUUCGUCACAGUUGUACAGGCUCAAACCUUUAUUUCUGUGUAUGUUUGAUCUGCAUUGUGUUGGAUUUAUUGAUUUAUAUUAGACAAA